UACCCGGCGCCACGACGCGCUGAUGUCACGACGGCGUGCGGCGUGCAGACGUCGGCAAGCUGCGCCGCGCCUUCGGGGUGCUUCCGGAUCUGGUACUUGGGCAGAGUUGCUCGGCGUUCAUUGUCGUCCCUUCACAGGGUCUGUUUGAGUCCUGUCCACGGGACCCUACGGGGGUACCUUCGAAAAAAACGGGCUAUGCUGCUGUUGCUUGUCGGUACCCUUUCCUGACGCCUCCGCCGCUGGGGUCAUGUGGACCCUUGUGGGUCGGGGCUGGGGGUGCGCACGCGCCCUCGCGCCACGAGCCACUGGGGCCGCGCUUGUGGGGGGCCCGGGGCCCCGGCCCGCGCCGACCUUUGGGGCUGCUCCAGAGUCCUGGGCUACCGACAGGCUCUACAGCUCCGCAGAAUUCAAGGAAAAACUUGACAUGUCUAGGUUUCCUGUUGAAAAUAUUAGAAAUUUCAGUAUCAUUGCACACGUGGAUCAUGGCAAAAGUACUUUAGCUGACAGGCUCCUAGAACUUACAGGGACAAUUGAUAAAACAAAGAAUAAUAAGCAGGUGCUUGAUAAAUUGCAAGUGGAACGAGAAAGAGGAAUCACUGUUAAAGCACAGACAGCAUCUCUCUUUUACAAUUGUGAAGGAAAGCAGUACCUUUUAAAUCUCAUUGAUACACCGGGCCAUGUUGAUUUUAGUUAUGAAGUAUCCAGGUCACUUUCUGCUUGCCAGGGUGUUUUACUUGUGGUUGAUGCAAAUGAGGGUAUUCAAGCCCAAACUGUAGCAAACUUCUUUCUUGCCUUCGAAGCACAGCUGUCGGUAAUUCCAGUCAUAAAUAAGAUAGAUCUGAAGAAUGCUGAUCCUGAAAGGGUUGAAAACCAAAUUGAGAAAGUGUUUGAUAUUCCAAGUGAUGAAUGUAUUAAGAUUUCUGCGAAACUUGGAACAAAUGUUGAGAGGGUUCUUCAGGCAGUUAUUGAAAGAAUCCCCCCUCCUAAAGUGCAUCGCAAAAAUCCCCUGAGAGCUUUGGUAUUUGAUUCCACCUUUGACCAGUAUAGAGGUGUGAUAGCCAAUGUAGCAUUAUUUGACGGAGUGGUUUCCAAAGGAGAUAAAAUUGUAUCUGCACAUACUCAAAAGACAUACGAAGUUAAUGAAGUAGGAGUUUUGAAUCCUAAUGAGCAGCCAACUCAUAAAUUAUAUGCAGGACAGGUGGGCUAUCUGAUUGCUGGGAUGAAAGAUGUCACUGAAGCGCAAAUAGGAGAUACAUUAUAUUUACAUAAGCAACCAGUGGAGCCCUUGCCUGGGUUUAAAUCAGCGAAACCAAUGGUAUUUGCAGGAAUGUAUCCUCUAGACCAAUCUGAAUAUAACAAUCUGAAGAGUGCUAUAGAAAAACUGACUUUAAAUGAUUCCAGUGUGACAGUUCAUCGGGAUAGUAGCCUUGCUCUGGGUGCUGGCUGGAGGCUAGGAUUUCUUGGACUUUUGCACAUGGAAGUUUUCAACCAGCGACUGGAGCAAGAAUAUAAUGCUUCUGUUAUUUUAACAACCCCUACUGUUCCAUAUAAAGCUGUACUGUCAUCAUCAAAAUUGAUAAAGGAACAUAGAGAAAAAGAAAUUACAAUUAUCAAUCCUGCACAAUUCCCCGAUAAAUCAAAAGUAACAGAAUAUUUGGAGCCAGUUGUUUUGGGCACUAUUAUCACACCAGAUGAAUACACUGGAAAAAUAAUGAUGCUUUGCGAGGCUCGAAGAGCAGUUCAGAAGAAUAUGAUAUUUAUUGAUCAAAAUAGAGUUAUGCUUAAAUAUCUCUUUCCUUUGAAUGAAAUUGUGGUAGAUUUUUAUGACUCUUUGAAAUCCCUGUCUUCUGGAUAUGCUAGUUUUGAUUACGAAGAUGCAGGCUACCAGACUGCAGAACUUGUGAAAAUGGAUAUUCUGCUGAAUGGAAAUACUGUAGAGGAGCUAGUAACUGUUGUACACAAGUGUAUUUUUCUGUCUCAGAGACAAAGCGCAUUCAAUUGGCAAAGCCAUAUGUGAACGGCUGAGGGAUUCUCUUCCCAGGCAACUGUUUGAGAUAGCAAUUCAAGCUGCUAUUGGAAGUAAAAUCAUUGCAAGAGAAACUGUGAAAGCCUAUAGGAAAAAUGUUUUGGCAAAAUGUUAUGGUGGUGAUAUUACCCGAAAAAUGAAGCUUUUGAAGAGACAAGCAGAAGGGAAAAAAAAGCUGAGGAAAAUUGGCAACGUUGAAGUUCCAAAAGAUGCUUUUAUAAAAGUUCUGAAAACAGUCUUCUAAAUAAUUGGUGGGAAAACAAAGAAUUUUCAUAAAUUAAAAACUAUCUUUUUUUCAUUGCAAAUUGUAAUACGCUGACAACAGAAAGAAAAUUAUAAAAUUUGCUUGUUACUUUCAGGGUCUUCAGGUUCAAAUAACCUACUAGCCUUUUGUUGAAAGGGAGUAAUGAGUGAGUAGGCAAGAGCUUAGAUUUUGAAGCCAUGUUGCCUGUUCUCAAAUAUCUGUUCCAACCGCUCACUAGUAAGGUGACCUUGGCCAAAUUAACCUUUGUUUCCUCUUCAGUAAAAUGGAGAUUAUACUACUACCUAUAUAAGUUGUUGUGAAGAUGAAAUGAGGUAAUAUGUUAAAUAUUCAGAGGUGCACGACACAUAGUAAGCACUCAAUUGUAACUACAGUUAAGUCCUUAAAUGCCAUCGAAAGGUUCUUAGAAACUGACUUUAAGCAAAAUGACACAUAGCACAAUGUCCUUGAAUGAUGCCAUUUCCUUAAGUGGUUUGUAACCUUGAUGAGGAAAAAAAAUUGGUUUAUGCGUCAUUUCAUUUUAUUUAUUUUUUGAGACGGAGUCUUGCCCUGUUGCCCAGGCUGGAGUGCAAUGGCGCAAUCUCUACUCACUGCAACCUCCGCCUCCCAGGUUCAAGAGAUUCUCCUGCCUCCAUUACAGGCGCGCGCCACCAUGCUCGGCUAAUUUUUUGUAUCUUUAGUAGAGACGGGGUUUCACCAUGUUGGCCAGGCUAGUCUUGAACUCCUGACCUCGUGAUCCACCUGCCGUGGCCUCCCAAAGUGCUGAGAUUAUAGGCGUGAGCCACCAUGCUCAGCCAUGUCAUUUCAUUUAAAGUCACAAUUUCCAUGAAUCUCAACAAGUGAGGACCUGCUAUAUUUUGUUGCAUGCAGUUUUUCUUUACUGACACUAAAAGGCCCCAUACUUAAGAUUCCAUCUACUUUAAGUUAAAGGAUUUUCAGAAUCACCUUAAGUGUCAAAUUUGUUAGCAGGAUUAAUUUAUCUGAUAUGAAUUCAUUUAUUAAACAGUAAACUCAAAUAACAUACUAUCUAGACAUCUGCUCUAGUUCAUGAUAAAAUGUUUAUAGAUUUUAUCAGGUGGUUAAGUUUGAAACUAAAUGGUUUACAUGUAAAUUAAGGGCAGGAGCUGUCUUUCAGACAUUCAGAACGCAUUUGUGUAAAAUGACAGGUGUUUGGUAUUACCAGGAACUCAUAAUGACAUUUUAAUAAUUAUUGUCUAAAUUUCAUAAUCGAAGCGAUUUUAGAGUAGUUAACUUGAGAUUUCACAACCAGUUAUUUCUCCAAAGCUCUCAGCUCCCAUGUUUAUUCAGCCAACGAACAAACCAGACUGCAGACUAUAUUACAGCAAGAUAACAUCAUUUAGCCAUUGAUUUUUAUCUUCAACCUUGAAUGAAUUGAAUGAGGAAAAUGUCUUUUAGGGAUAAACACUAUCAAGGAUGAAUUUUAUACUAAGGUUAUAUGAAAGAAAAAGAAUCUAUCUCAAAACCACUAAGCCAAAGGGAAGUCAAACUGGGAACUGAUUGAGGCAAACCUGCCUCCCAUUUUAUUCCUAAAUAAGACAGCCACGAAGAUAAAAUUUGCCCACAAGGAAAUUCCUUAUGGACAAAGACAGAACUCAAAGUCUUCCUUCUGCUCACAUGACACAAAUGCAUAAAUGAUUGCUUUCUCUGCUUCAUGUUUCACUAAGCCAGAUUAAGGUAUAACUGACUAUUCCUCUACCCUCCUCUCACAUGUAAAUUGUAUAUUCAGUGAAAGGCUAAUCAGAAACUCAAAAGAAUGCAACCCUUUCUCUCUUACCUGCCUAUGCUUGAAGCCCCCGCCCCUCUUCGAGUUGUCCUGCCUUUCAAGACCAAUGUACACCUUACACAUACUGAUUGAUGUCUCAUGUCUCUAAAAUGUGUAAAACCAAGCUGUGCCCCAACCACCUUGGGCACAUGUGGUGAGGACCUCCUGAGUCUGUGUCACGGGCACAUCCUUAACCCUGGGAAAAUAAACUUCCUAAACUGACCUGAGAGCUGUCUCAGAUAUUUUGAGCUCACAGUUAUUGUGAAGUCAUUUUAAUUAUAAAUUAAGUGGAGAUUUACUUAAAAUCAUGUGUAGAAGUAGCCUGUGAUGUAUCCUAGAUACAUAUAUUAUCAUCUUAUGUAUCUUCCCUCCCCCUUCCAGGUUCUGAUAAAACAGAUGAAAUCUGAAAGACCAUGAUAGUAGUAUUUUGAAAAUGACAGUAUUUGAAAUUAAAAAAUUGUAAAAGUGUUCUGUUCUAUCACUGCCAAAGGAUAAGUUACAAAUUGGUUCUUGGAACGUAAUGUGUACUAUGUGCUUGCUAUUUAAUAAUUUACUAAUAUUAGUCUUUUUUAUUCAGACUAAUUUUAUCUUUUUUUAACCUAUGACUCUUUAGUUAUAGUAGUACAAAAAAGUAGUUUUAGUUGUAGUACAAAAAAGCAUUUUCUGUAAGCUUAAUUUCUUUCCCCUUCCCACUUUCCCAGUGAGAUGACUUUAGUGAUUUGGAGUUGUGUGCUUUAUAAGUGUAUUCCUCAGAGGACUUAAUAUUACUAAGAUUUUAGCAAACAUUGAAGUAUGUUUAAACACUGUUACCAGUAUUAAAAUAGCACCGUUCAUUGAAUUUAGUAUGACAACCACUGUGCUGAGCUAUGUAUGCUUCCCUCAUUCAAUCUAUGUAAAAAUUUUGGGGAAGAAGCUGAGACUUUUUUAUUUCCCAAAGUCACCAUUGUUGACAGAGCUGGGAUUUAAUGGUUGGUUUCUUCAAAAAGCUAAGUUCUUUGUCUAACAGCAGCUUAGCUCCUGAGUUUAGGGAAUGAAAGCAGGAAUGAAAAUGGCCAGAGUUUUCACUCCUCAGCUUGUGGAGGAGCUUGAGUACAUGAACCUCAGUUAAGCCCCUAACACCAAGGGCAGGAAAAUGGAAAGGAGAAUUUUUAGACCUUUAAAGCACAGAAAUAACUGGUGAAUCAUGUACCACAACAGGUACCUUUAGCUUUUUCACUGUGAUGCUGUAUGACUUUCUAAGGUAGUCAGCAUAGUUUGUAGUAAGUGAUUCUUAUUACUGGAAGUGUAAGUGGAAUGUUACUCACUAGUUAUUUAAAAAACAUAUAUAAGGCUAUUAAAACAUCUGGAAUUACAAUAAAGCAAGAUAAUUUACCCCAUCCCCCACUUUUAACCAUAGAACCCUAUUACCAAUUUUAUUUCAUUAAUUUAUUUGCUAUUUUAAUAUUUUAAGAACCUACAUUUUGAUCACAUAGACAAGCAGAUAAGUAAGGCUUCUUCUACCAGGUGGGCUUAUGAAAU